GCCUGGGUGGCUCAGUCGGUUAAGCGUCUGGCUUCAGCUCAGGUCAUGAUCUCACAGUUUGUGGGUUCAAGCCCCAUGUCGGGCU
rnacentral:tRNA from 1 species